rnacentral:rRNA from 1 species
GACGAACGCUGGCGGCGUGCUUAACACAUGCAAGUCGAGCGGUAAGGCCCUUUCGGGGGUACGACGAGCGGCGAACGGGUGAGUAACACGUGGGUGACCUGCCCUCAGCUCUGGGAUAAGCCUGGGAAACUGGGUCUAAUACCGGAUAUGACUCCAUGACGCAUGUUGUGGGGUGGAAAGCCUUGUGCGGCUGAGGAUGGGCCCGCGGCCUAUCAGCUUGUUGGUGGGGUGAGGCCUACCAAGGCGACGACGGGUAGCCGGCCUGAGAGGGCGACCGGCCACACUGGGACUGAGACACGGCCCAGACUCCUACGGGAGGCAGCAGUGGGGAAUCUUGCGCAAUGGGCGAAAGCCUGACGCAGCGACGCCGCGUGAGGGAUGAC